rnacentral:lncRNA from 9 species
CACCCAGAUGCAGCCCUGCUGACUAAGAGAGCCCAUUUUUGCCUCCAUAUCCCCUGGCGCCUGCUGGCCACAGCUGAUUGCACUAGACAGGAGCUGGCAGCUCACCUAAAGGCAACCAGUCAUGGCCUGGCCUGAUCUGAUCCAAAAGGGAGAUCCAGGCCAGUUCAUUUUCUUGUCUUAGGAGCCUGAAUAGGAACUAAAGAAAGAAUUCACCGACUGGUGGAGGACAAGUCAAGUCAAUGAUGGAGCACUUUGAAAAGGAACGUAACUGGGAGUCCUGGAAUACGACUGUCAUGGGCUUUCUCAGAGCCCAAGUCUCUCAGAGGCUGCAGUUUGCACAGUGGGCUGUUAUCUACAGAGGACUCCAGGGAACACUGGCUGGUGAUGGGCAAUUGCAACCUCAGGGAGCAGAUGGGCACCAGAAACAGGGUUGGACCCACUUUCGCCAGAAGAGAUACAGGGAUAAGAGCUGUGGCAGGCUAGCUUAUGGACCAAGAGUUUGGUGAAUGCCAAAGGAACUCCCAUGAGGUACCUCCCUGGAGUUCCCUGGGGCCAGGUGUAAGCAAGACAUAGACUGGUCCUCUGGAUACCUCGGAAAGCCAAAGGACUUCAGGGAAACUGACCCACACCAGCAAUGAGCAUGAGCCUUAGCAUUAGCACGGGACCUGGGGUGUGGAGGACCUCACCUGGACUGAGGAAGGGGUCCCAAGGCAGCUGGGCCUGUAGGCUGUGGGAGAUUUUUAGGGGCACUGGGCAGAGGCUACUUAUCAAUCAGUAAGGAAGUGUACAAUGUGUUAACCAUGGGCAUGGCUGACUCUGUGACUCUAAAGGCUUUGACCCACAAGGUAACCAUUCAUGAAAUAGGCAUCGUGGAUAUUGGGUCCUUGUUGUUACUAGUUAGCUUGGAGUGAGGAUUGGUGACUUUAUGGGUUAUUGCUGGCACAGCCCUGGGAGUUUUCCUGUGUCAUCUCUGCGAGGACAUCUCCAGCAGCUCUGCUUUGGCAAGGACUUUGGUUCAGAGACGUGUAAGUUCCAGGGGAUUGCACUUUGCUUUCACUGACUCCCAGGGCUCUGGAUGGGAGCCACCAAUCUCAGUGCACAGUGAGGUCUUUAUCUUGCCUUCUAGAGGCAGCAAGUAUCGCCGGAACACAUUCAGGCCCAGCCCACAGCAUGGGCCUGGGGUGAAAGCAGGAUCUCUAUGCUGAGACCUGGACACAUUUUGACAGUAGAAAACUUCUCAGUGUC